rnacentral:rRNA from 1 species
UACAGAGGUCUCAACCGUUGUUCGGAUUUCAUUGGGCGUAAAGGGUGCGUGAGGCGGUCGUGCAAGUCGGAUGUGAAAGUCUCAGGGCUCAACCCUGAAACUGGCAUUCGAUACUGCGUGGCUAGAGUGCUGGAGAGGAGACUGGAAUUUACGGUGUAGCAGUGAAAUGCGUAGAUAAUCGUAAGGAAGACCAGUGGCGAAGGCGAGUCUCUGGACAGCAACUGACGCUGAGGCACGAAGGCCAGGGGAGCAAACGGG